rnacentral:rRNA from 1 species
CCUACGGGAGGCAGCAGUAAGGAAUCUUGCGCAAUGGGCGAAAGCCUGACGCAGCGACGCCGCGUGGGCGAUGAAGGCCUUCGGGUUGUAAAGCCCUUUUCUGGGGGACGAGGAAGGACGGUACCCCAGGAAUAAGUCACGGCUAACUACGUGCCAGCAGCCGCGGUAAAACGUAGGUGGCAAGCGUUAUCCGGAAUCACUAGGCGUAAAGCGCGUGUAGGCGGUAUUUUAAGUCUGUUGUGAAAUCUUAUGGCUCAACCAUAAAAUGUCGACAGAUACUGAAGUACUAGAGUGAGGCAGGGGAAACUGGAAUUCCAGGUGUAGGGGUGGAAUGCGUAGAUAUCUGGAAGACCGCCAAAGGCGAGGGCAGGUUUCUGGGCCUUUACUGACGCUGAAGCGCGAAAGCGGGGGGAGCGAACGGGAUUAGAUCCCCCAGUAGU